AGAGUUUGAUCAUGGCUCAGGAUGAACGCUGGCGGCGUGCCUAACACAUGCAAGUCGUACGAGCUCGAUCUUCGGAACGGGUUAGUGGCGCACGGGUGAGUAACACGUAGGUGACCUACCCCAGAGUGGGGGAUAACUUCUCGAAAGAGAGGCUAAUACCGCAUACACUCGGUCAUUCAUUUGGCCGAGCAAAGCUCCGGCGCUUUGGGACGGGCCUGCGUCCGAUUAGCUAGUUGGUAGGGUAAUGGCUUACCAAGGCUUUGAUCGGUAGCUGGUCUGAGAGGACGAUCAGCCACACUGGCACUGACACACGGGCCAGACUCCUACGGGAGGCAGCAGUGAGGAAUAUUGGGCAAUGGGCGAAAGCCUGACCCAGCAACGCCGCGUGAGGGAUGAAGGCCUUCGGGUUGUAAACCUCUUUUCUGGGAGAAGAGACAAGGACGGUAUCCCAGGAAUAAGUCUCGGCUAACUACGUG
rnacentral:rRNA from 1 species